ACUGCCCUAGAGGCAUUGCUGGUGUGGUUAAUGUGUCACAUGUGCAUCACUAAGUGGCAUAGAGGAGAGAGGUUAUGUCUAUGCUCAGUGUUCUGGUCUAUGAACAUCUGAAUGAUUAGUAACCUAACAUU
ensembl:snoRNA Gm23749 small nucleolar RNA SNORA17